AGCAAGACAUCGUGUACGUGGGGAUUGCCGUCAAUACUGCUUUCAACAUGGUCAGUUUCACGGCUUUGGAGAGGUGUCUUGUUGACCAGCUCGAGGCUCUCUGUCUUAUUCGGUCCACCAAUGCUGUAAAGAGGACCUUUUUCCUUCUGCCGAAAUGCUCAGGUGAUUGAAGACUUCUCACUAUUGAUCUUCUGCCCUGAAGCCAGUUCAUAUUCCUUCAAGAUAUUAGUGAGUGCGGCGCAGCUGGCAGGGGAUGUUUGACAGAAGAACAUGGUAUCAUCUGCGAAGAGCAGAUGAUUUACUCUUGGGCUUCCUCUGGCUGCUCGUAUGCCUUGCAAGGAACUGGAGCACCUCGUGAGUGAUCAAAAUGUUAUCCGCUAUAGCCCUUCCUGGAAUGAAUGCUGAUUGAUUCUCUGAGAUAAUCAGGCCGAAGCACCCCUGUGGUGAAGAAAAGUUGGACUUCCUUGACGUAAUUCGUUACAGUUAAUCAAUCUGUUCUGCAAUUAUAAAAGUUCACUUUUCUGUUCCAGCGGUUCUUUAUACUUUGAGAGAUGAACAAAACAUAGAUAGUAUAAUCAUAUUCUUAAUUUAGUUUGAAGAAAAUUAAAUUAAAACGUGG